CAACAGAAUACAGAGAGAACAUCCAUGAUGCCUACAAUCUAAAUGUUUCAGUUAAACUGUAGUUAAGCACUGAAUCAUCAACAUUGGCUACUGAUAGAAACCAUGCUAGUAUGCCCCACUCCUUUGACAUGACUGACUCAAUGAAGAAAAAGCAAGCUUCCCUUCAGAAGUACCAUGAUGACUAUGAAAAUAUCUUCUGUGGCUGGUGACCUGCAGCAAAGCCCUGAGCACUUUCCAAACCCUGGGUGAGAAAAGCUCAGUUCUGGUUUGAAAAUUCAAGUAUCUGAUGCAAGCAUGGCCGCACCCUUGUUUCCAGCAAGAACACACAAAUUCUGAGGCAGCUGGGGAGGAAGAGAAAGCUGAACACACAUCGGGGAAGCCAGUAGCUCAGCGCUCUCCUCAAGUUGUCUAUGAUUUUAAAAAUAGAAAUCUGUUCAGCUCCCCGUCUAAGCUGAAAUCCUGUGACCUGUUGAGGCUAAAAACACACUCCUCAAGUGAACUUCUACUAAAUGAUGAUAGAGCACUUGUAUUUUAUGUUAGGCUUUGAGUCUGUUGAUCCAUAGAGGCUGUGACAUCAUCACACAGAAGGCCUUUCUCCUUACAGCUGAGCCCCCAGAUGUGAGAAACGUUUCACAACUGCCGCUCUCAAUAACACUACCUUGUCACUA